AACAGCCUGACAUCAUCGUAACAGCUGAAACCAUAGGGGAAGCAUUUGACUACAACUUAGCAACAUUAACUAAAAUACAACAUUGCAGACUUGAAGAGAUUAUUAUCCAAAUCAUUAGUUGAGCUUAUUGGUUAUUCAAAAGCCUAAGUAUUGCUCCCCUGUUAUCCCAAGUUCACAUAACGUAAUAGAAAAAAUAUAUUUCCUUCAUGAUUUACACAAACAAUAAAGUAGUUGUGAUUCAGAUUUCAUGCAUCUCUAUAUGUUAAACAAUAAACCCUAAAGUUGAGUCA
rnacentral:lncRNA from 1 species